rnacentral:lncRNA from 1 species
ACAAUGCUGUCUCAGUGAAUUGGAUUUCCCUGUGCAGCAGGCAAGAAGAAUCUGUUGGAUGAUUACAACAUUGCUGGAUUGAUAGCAGCCUCACCUGCCAGGCUCAAACUCCAGAUCCAAAGUCCACAAAUAUAUCAUAAAUCUGAAGAGGAACUGGGAGAAGCUUCUGCUGGCAGCUCAUGCCAUUGUUGCCAUUGAAAACCCUGCUGAUGUGUCAUAUCCUGCAGGAAUACUAGCUAGUGGGCUGUGCUGAAGUUUGCUGCUGCUGCUGGAGCCACAUGUAUUGCUGGUCACUUCACUUCUGGAACCUUUGCUAACCAGAUCCAAUCAUCUUCUGCCACCCACAUCUUCUGGUGGUUACUGAUUCUAGGGCUAACUAUCAGCCUCUCUCAGGGGCUUCUUAUGGUAACCUACCUACCUACCACUGCUGUAUGUAACAGAUUCUCCUCUGAGCUAUGUGGAUAUUGUCAUCCCAUGCAACAACAAGGAAGCUCAAUCACUGAGUCUAAUGUAGUGGAUGCUGGCCCAGGAAGCUCUGUGCAUGUGUUGCACCAUCUCCCAUGAUCAUGCCUGAUCUCUACUUCUAUAGAGAUCCUGAAGAGAUUGAAAAGGAAGAGUAGGCUGCAGCUGAAAAAGGAGGAAUUUCAAAGUGAAUGGACUGCUGUAGUGCAAGUUUACUGCUACUCAAUCUGAGGUUGCAGACUGGUUUAAAGACAUGCAGGUGCCCUCUGUGCCUAUUCAGCAGUUCCCUACUGAAGAUUGGAGCACUUAGCCUACCAUGAAUGACUGGUCUGCAACUUCCACUGCUCAGACCACUGAAUGGGUAAGAAUAACCACUGAGUGGCCUUAAGCUGUUCUUCCACAAGCUCUUAAACAAGAUGGAAAUAACGCUGAUGGAAAUAAACAACAGUUUCCAAGAAAACACGAACAGCUGAAGUGGCAAUGUUUAAGUAACAUCUGGUAGACUUUAACAUGAAUGUUAUUAAGCAGGAAAUUAUGAUCUUUUAAGUUGGAACAUGUAAUGUUAAUCCUUUUGCACCAAAAUAUCUCUUUAAGUCUAAAUUAUCCACUUUUUUUUUUAAUUCUUCGUAGAGAUAGAGGUUUCGCUUUGUUGCCCAGGCUGUUCUUGACUUCCUAACUUCAAGCAAUCCUUCUGCCUCAGCCUCCCAGAGUGCUGGGAUUAUAGGCAUUUGCCACCGUGCCUGGUGUACCCAGUUUCUGUUAUCAACAGAAUGCAGUGGUGUAUGGUUGCUAAAGGGUCCCAAGAUCAGGACCUACGUUAAGG